CGUAGCUCAUGACUGUAUC
rnacentral:miRNA from 1 species